GCUGGCGGCAGGCUUAACACAUGCAAGUUGAACGGGAUUUGCUAAGUGCUUGCACGGAGCAAUGAGAGUAGCGCACUGGUGAGUAACACGUGGGAACAUGCCUUUUGGUGGGGGACAACAGAGGGAAACUUCUGCUAAUACCGCAUAAGCCCUAAGGGGGAAAGAUUAAUUGCCGAAAGAUUGGCCCGCGGAAGAUUAGGUAGUUGGUGGGGUAAAGGCCUACCAAGCCGACGAUCUAUAGCUGGUCUGAGAGGACGAACAGCCACAUUGGAACUGAGACACGGUCCAGACUCCUACGGGAGGCAGCAGUGAGGAAUAUUGGGCAAUGGAGGAAACUCUGAACCCCCAGCCAUGCCGCGUGAGUGAAGAAGGUUUUCGAAUUGUAAAGCUCUUUCGGAUACGAGGAUGAUGACGGUAGUAUCUAAAGAAGCCCCGGCAAACUUCGUGCCAGCCGCUGC
rnacentral:rRNA from 1 species